AGUGAACGCUGGCGGUAGGCCUAACACAUGCAAGUCGAACGGCAGCACAGUAAGAGCUUGCUCUUACGGGUGGCGAGUGGCGGACGGGUGAGGAAUACAUCGGAAUCUACUUUUUCGUGGGGGAUAACGUAGGGAAACUUACGCUAAUACCGCAUACGACCUACGGGUGAAAGCAGGGGAUCUUCGGACCUUGCGCGAUUGAAUGAGCCGAUGUCGGAUUAGCUAGUUGGCGGGGUAAAGGCCCACCAAGGCGACGAUCCGUAGCUGGUCUGAGAGGAUGAUCAGCCACACUGGGACUGAGACACUGUCCAGACUCCUACGGGAGGCAGCAGUGGGGAAUAUUGGACAAUGGGCGCAAGCCUGAUCCAGCCAUACCGCGUGGGUGAAGAAGGCCUUCGGGUUGUAAAGCCCUUUUGUUGGGAAAGAAAAGCAGCAGGUUAAUACCCCGCUGUUCUGACGGUACCCAAAGAAUAAGCACCGGCUAACUUCGUG
rnacentral:rRNA from 1 species